rnacentral:rRNA from 52 species
GUGACUGCGUACCUUUUGUAUAAUGGGUCAGCGACUUAUAUUCUGUAGCAAGGUUAACCGAAUAGGGGAGCCGAAGGGAAACCGAGUCUUAACUGGGCGUUAAGUUGCAGGGUAUAGACCCGAAACCCGGUGAUCUAGCCAUGGGCAGGUUGAAGGUUGGGUAACACUAACUGGAGGACCGAACCGACUAAUGUUGAAAAAUUAGCGGAUGACUUGUGGCUGGGGGUGAAAGGCCAAUCAAACCGGGAGAUAGCUGGUUCUCCCCGAAAGCUAUUUAGGUAGCGCCUCGUGAAUUCAUCUCCGGGGGUAGAGCACUGUUUCGGCAAGGGGGUCAUCCCGACUUACCAACCCGAUGCAAACUGCGAAUACCGGAGAAUGUUAUCACGGGAGACACACGGCGGGUGCUAACGUCCGUCGUGAAGAGGGAAACAACCCAGACCGCCAGCUAAGGUCCCAAAGUCAUGGUUAAGUGGGAAACGAUGUGGGAAGGCCCAGACAGCCAGGAUGUUGGCUUAGAAGCAGCCAUCAUUUAAAGAAAGCGUAAUAGCUCACUGGUCGAGUCGGCCUGCGCGGAAGAUGUAACGGGGCUAAACCAUGCACCGAAGCUGCGGCAGCGACACUGUGUGUUGUUGGGUAGGGGAGCGUUCUGUAAGCCUGUGAAGGUGUGCUGUGAGGCAUGCUGGAGGUAUCAGAAGUGCGAAUGCUGACAUAAGUAACGAUAAAGCGGGUGAAAAGCCCGCUCGCCGGAAGACCAAGGGUUCCUGUCCAACGUUAAUCGGGGCAGGGUGAGUCGACCCCUAAGGCGAGGCCGAAAGGCGUAGUCGAUGGGAAACAGGUUAAUAUUCCUGUACUUGGUGUUACUGCGAAGGGGGGACGGAGAAGGCUAUGUUGGCCGGGCGACGGUUGUCCCGGUUUAAGCGUGUAGGCUGGUUUUCCAGGCAAAUCCGGAAAAUCAAGGCUGAGGCGUGAUGACGAGGCACUACGGUGCUGAAGCAACAAAUGCCCUGCUUCCAGGAAAAGCCUCUAAGCAUCAGGUAACAUCAAAUCGUACCCCAAACCGACACAGGUGGUCAGGUAGAGAAUACCAAGGCGCUUGAGAGAACUCGGGUGAAGGAACUAGGCAAAAUGGUGCCGUAACUUCGGGAGAAGGCACGCUGAUAUGUAGGUGAAGUCCCUCGCGGAUGGAGCUGAAAUCAGUCGAAGAUACCAGCUGGCUGCAACUGUUUAUUAAAAACACAGCACUGUGCAAACACGAAAGUGGACGUAUACGGUGUGACGCCUGCCCGGUGCCGGAAGGUUAAUUGAUGGGGUCAGCGCAAGCGAAGCUCUUGAUCGAAGCCCCGGUAAACGGCGGCCGUAACUAUAACGGUCCUAAGGUAGCGAAAUUCCUUGUCGGGUAAGUUCCGACCUGCACGAAUGGCGUAAUGAUGGCCAGGCUGUCUCCACCCGAGACUCAGUGAAAUUGAACUCGCUGUGAAGAUGCAGUGUACCCGCGGCAAGACGGAAAGACCCCGUGAACCUUUACUAUAGCUUGACACUGAACAUUGAGCCUUGAUGUGUAGGAUAGGUGGGAGGCUUUGAAGUGUGGACGCCAGUCUGCAUGGAGCCGACCUUGAAAUACCACCCUUUAAUGUUUGAUGUUCUAACGUGGACCCGUGAUCCGGGUUGCGGACAGUGUCUGGUGGGUAGUUUGACUGGGGCGGUCUCCUCCUAAAGAGUAACGGAGGAGCACGAAGGUUGGCUAAUCCUGGUCGGACAUCAGGAGGUUAGUGCAAUGGCAUAAGCCAGCUUGACUGCGAGCGUGACGGCGCGAGCAGGUGCGAAAGCAGGUCAUAGUGAUCCGGUGGUUCUGAAUGGAAGGGCCAUCGCUCAACGGAUAAAAGGUACUCCGGGGAUAACAGGCUGAUACCGCCCAAGAGUUCAUAUCGACGGCGGUGUUUGGCACCUCGAUGUCGGCUCAUCACAUCCUGGGGCUGAAGUAGGUCCCAAGGGUAUGGCUGUUCGCCAUUUAAAGUGGUACGCGAGCUGGGUUUAGAACGUCGUGAGACAGUUCGGUCCCUAUCUGCCGUGGGCGCUGGAGAACUGAGGGGGGCUGCUCCUAGUACGAGAGGACCGGAGUGGACGCAUCACUGGUGUUCGGGUUGUCAUGCCAAUGGCACUGCCCGGUAGCUAAAUGCGGAAGAGAUAAGUGCUGAAAGCAUCUAAGCACGAAACUUGCCCCGAGAUGAGUUCUCCCUGACCCUUUAAGGGUCCUGAAGGAACGUUGAAGACGACGACGUUGAUAGGCCGGGUGUGUAAGCGCAGCGAUGCGUUGAGCUAACCGGUACUAAUGAACCGUGAGGCUUAACCUU